CUUUGAGCAGUGCCUUGGGUAGUGUUCAUCUCACUCUGCAUCAGAUUUUGGGCAGAGAACUGAAUGUUAUCUUUUUCCUCCUAUCAUGGUUCUGGUUCUUUUAACUCCCUGAUUAUCAGCUUGUGCGGUUGUGCCGUUGUACAAAACGUCCAUGGAUAUAGUUUGGAGCUGUUAAGGUGAUGGCAAAAGAUCUUAUCUGAACAAGGCAUCAAAUUACAAAAUUUCAUGCACUCAACUCACAACUCCAAGGUGUAUCUCUUAGAAUUCAGGUUCUCUAACUAGUACUGUAUUUAAAAGCAUGAAUGCUAUGGAGUUUGGUUUUUUUAGUAUUUGGACUAAUUGUUACAAUGAAAAAAAUUGAAUAAUUAGUAAAAAUUUGGUGUUUCAUUAAUCUAUGAAGACAAUUUAAGUAGUUGGUGUUUAGAUGUAGCCGCAUGUAGGAACUAUAUAAUUUGGAAUUGAGUGUAUAAUUGAUUAUAUGAAGCAAAGGGUUAUGGACAAAAGAAACUGUGAAGUGGAAGGGAUUGUUAAAAAGUUUAGUGAUGAUUUGCUGAUAGAAUACCAGAGUUUGGAAAUUUGUCUCUUUAAGAGUGGAAGAAAACCAAUGGAUUGUUAUAUUGUAAAAUCUCAAUAUGUUUAUUAAAGUUUUUGAUGAAUCAGUGUGAAGGUUUUUUCCCCCAGAAAUUUAACAAGCUAUGAUUAUGCAUCAGUAAGCUCUUGGUUUUUUAUUAUAAUCAGGUUAGUUGGUUCUCCAUU